rnacentral:rRNA from 1 species
AACGAACGCUGGCGGCAGGCCUAACACAUGCAAGUCGAACGCUCGUAGCAAUACGGGAGUGGCGGACGGGUGAGCAACACGUGGGAACGUGCCCUUUGGUUCGGAACAACUCCGGGAAACUGGAGCUAAUACCGGAUAAGCCCUUACGGGGAAAGAUUUAUCGCCAAAGGAUCGGCCCGCGUCUGAUUAGCUAGUUGGCGGGGUAAUGGCCCACCAAGGCGACGAUCAGUAGCUGGUCUGAGAGGAUGACCAGCCACACUGGGACUGAGACACGGCCCAGACUCCUACGGGAGGCAGCAGUGGGGAAUAUUGGACAAUGGGCGCAAGCCUGAUCCAGCCAUGCCGCGUGAGUGAUGAAGGCCCUAGGGUUGUAAAGCUCUCUCGGCGGGGACGAUAAUGACGGUACCCGCAGAAGAAGCCCCGGCUAACUUCGUG